rnacentral:rRNA from 1 species
AUUGAACGCUGGCGGCAUGCUUUACACAUGCAAGUCGAACGGUAACAGGGAAAAGCUUGCUUUUCUGCUGACGAGUGGCGAACGGGUGAGUAACACAUCGGAACGUGCCCUGUAGUGGGGGAUAACUACUCGAAAGAGUGGCUAAUACCGCAUACAACCUGAGGGUAAAAGUGGGGGACCGCAAGGCCUCACGCUAUAGGAGCGGCCGAUGGAAGAUUAGGUAGUUGGUAGGGUAAAGGCCUACCAAGCCGACGAUCUUUAGCGGGUCUGAGAGGACGAUCCGCCACACUGGGACUGAGACACGGCCCAGACUCCUACGGGAGGCAGCAGUGGGGAAUUUUGGACAAUGGGGGCAACCCUGAUCCAGCAAUGCCGCGUGAGUGAAGAAGGCCUCGGUUGUAAG